UACGGGGGGGGCAAGCGUUGUUCGGAAUUACUGGGCGUAAAGGGCUCGUAGGUUGCCAACUAAGUCAGACGUGAAAUCCCUCAGCUUAACUGGGGAACUGCGUCUGAUACUGGAUGGCUUGAGUUUGGGAGAGGGAUGCGGAAUUCCAGGUGUAGCGGUGAAAUGCGUAGAUAUCUGGAGGAACACCGGUGGCGAAGGCGGCAUCCUGGACCAACACUGAUACUGAGGAGCGAAAGCCAGGGGAGCAAACAGG
rnacentral:rRNA from 1 species